CUUAUAAUUAGGGAUAGAGGGAGU
rnacentral:miRNA from 1 species